rnacentral:rRNA from 1 species
GGAAUGAGCUCUCGGUCUAUUAACUUGUUGGUAGGGGUACGGGCUACCAAGGGAAAGAUGGUUAGCCGGUCUGAAAGGGUUGUCGGUCACACUGGACUGCGACACGGCCAACUCCUACGGAGCCAGAGUGGGGAAUUGCGCAAUGGGCGAAAGCCUGACGCAGGAUCCGGGUGAGGAUGAAGGUCCCGGAUGUAACUCCGUGUCAAGUGGAGAAGCCUUAUGGUUCUGACGGGAACCUGGAGAUGCCCGCAGUUAACUACGUGCCACCACCGCGGUAAUCGUAGGGGGCAGCGGUGCUCGGAUUACCUCGGGCUUCAAUGGGUGCGCAGGUGUCUGUAGAGCAGUCGUGGAUGAUCUCCCGGGAGCUUACCCCCGGAACUGUGCUUCAAUAGUUCUCAGCUUUAGGAUACUCGAGGAAAGCGGAAUUCCCGGUGGAGCGGUGAGAUGCGUAGAUAUCGGUAGGAACACCAGAGGCGAAGGCGGUUCUCUAGGCUGAUCCGGACCUUGAGGUACGAUAGCUAGGGGAGCGAACGGGAUCAGAUACGCCGGUAUUCCUAGCUGUUACCGAUGGGCACUUGAUGUUUCCGGGUCUCAGCGGGAGUGUCGAAGUUAGCGCGAUAA